rnacentral:rRNA from 1 species
GACGAACGCUGGCGGCGUGCUUAACACAUGCAAGUCGAACGGAAAGGCCCCCUUGUGGGGUACUCGAGUGGCGAACGGGUGAGUAACACGUGAGUAACCUACCCUUGACUUUGGGAUAACUUCAGGAAACUGGGGCUAAUACCGGAUAGGAGCUCCUGCUGCAUGGUGGGGGUUGGAAAGUUUCGGCGGUUGGGGAUGGGCUCGCAGCUUAUCAGCUUGUUGGUGGGGUAGUGGCUCACCAAGGCUUUGACGGGUAGCCGGCCUGAGAGGGUGACCGGCCACAUUGGGACUGAGAUACGGCCCAGACUCCUACGGGAGGCAGCAGUGGGGAAUAUUGCACAAUGGGCGGAAGCCUGAUGCAGCAACGCCGCGUGCGGGAUGACGGCCUUCGGGUUGUAAACCGCUUUCGCCUGUGACGAAGCGUGAGUGACGGUAAUGGGUAAAGAAGCACCGGCUAACUACGUG